GUGGGGAAUAUUGGGCAAUGGGCGAAAGCCUGACCCAGCAACGCCGCGUGAAGGAAGAAGGUCUUCGGAUCGUAAACUUCUAUCCUUGGUGAAGAUAAUGACGGUAGCCGAGAAGGAAGCCCCGGCUAACUACGUGCCAGCAGCCGCGGUAAUACGUAGGGGGCAAGCGUUGUCCGGAAUGAUUGGGCGUAAAGGGCGCGUAGGCGGCCCGGUAAGUCUGAAGUGAAAGUCCUGCUUUUAAGGUGGGAAUUGCUUUGGAUACUGUCGGGCUUGAGUGCAGGAGAGGUAAGCGGAAUUCCCGGUGUAGCGGUGAAAUGCGUAGAGAUCGGGAGGAACACCAGUGGCGAAGGCGGCUUACUGGACUGUAACUGACGCUGAGGCGCGAAAGUGUGGGGAGCAAACAGGAUUAGAAACCCGAGUAGUCC
rnacentral:rRNA from 1 species